GACGAACGCUGGCGGCGUGCCUAAUACAUGCAAGUCGAGCGCAGGAAACUGACGGAACUCUUCGGAGGGAAGGCAGUGGAAUGAGCGGCGGACGGGUGAGUAACACGUAAGGAACCUGCCUCAAGGAUUGGGAUAACUCCGAGAAAUCGGAGCUAAUACCGGAUAGUUCAACGGACCGCAUGGUCCGCUGAUGAAAGGCGCUCCGGCGUCACCUUGAGAUGGCCUUGCGGUGCAUUAGCUAGUUGGUGGGGUAACGGCCCACCAAGGCGACGAUGCAUAGGCGACCUGAGAGGGUGAUCGGCCACACUGGGACUGAGACACGGCCCAGACUCAUACGGGAGGCAGCAGUAGGGAAUCUUCCACAAUGGACGAGAGUCUGAUGGAGCAACGCCGCGUGAGUGAUGAAGGUUUUCGGAUCGUAAAACUCUGUUGUAAGGGAAGAACACGUACGAGAGGAAAUGCUCGUACCUUGACGGUACCUUACGAGAAAGCCACGGCUAACUACGUGCCAGCCGCCGCGGUAAAAC
rnacentral:rRNA from 1 species